GAUGAACGCUGGCGGCGUGCCUAAUACAUGCAAGUCGAGCGAACAGACGAGGAGCUUGCUCCUCUGACGUUAGCGGCGGACGGGUGAGUAACACGUGGAUAACCUACCUAUAAGACUGGGAUAACUUCGGGAAACCGGAGCUAAUACCGGAUAAUAUAUUGAACCGCAUGGUUCAAUAGUGAAAGACGGUUUUGCUGUCACUUAUAGAUGGAUCCGCGCCGCAUUAGCUAGUUGGUAAGGUAACGGCUUACCAAGGCAACGAUGCGUAGCCGACCUGAGAGGGUGAUCGGCCACACUGGAACUGAGACACGGUCCAGACUCCUACGGGAGGCAGCAGUAGGGAAUCUUCCGCAAUGGGCGAAAGCUUGACGGGGCAACGCCGCGUGAGUGAUGAAGGUCUUCGGAUCGUAAAACUCUGUUAUUAGGGAAGAGCAAAUGUGUAAGUAACUAUGCACGUCUUGACGGUACCUAAUCAGAAAGCCACGGCUAACUACGUG
rnacentral:rRNA from 1 species